AGUGGGGAAUUUUGGACAAUGGGCGCAAGCCUGAUCCAGCCAUGCCGCGUGCAGGAUGAAGGCCUUCGGGUUGUAAACUGCUUUUGUACGGAACGAAAAGGCUCUUUCUAAUAAAGGGAGUUGAUGACGGUACCGUAAGAAUAAGCACCGGCUAACUACGUGCCAGCAGCCGCGGUAAUACGUAGGGUGCGAGCGUUAAUCGGAAUUACUGGGCGUAAAGCGUGCGCAGGCGGUCUUGCAAGACAGUUGUGAAAUCCCCGGGCUCAACCUGGGAACGGCCAUUGUGACUGCAAGGCUGGAGUACGGCAGAGGGGGAUGGAAUUCCGCGUGUAGCAGUGAAAUGCGUAGAUAUGCGGAGGAACACCGAUGGCGAAGGCAGUCCCCUGGGCCUGUACUGACGCUCAUGCACGAAAGCGUGGGGAGCAAACAGGAUUAGAUACCCUGGUAGUCCACGCCCUAAACGAUGUCAACUGGUUGUUGGGGAUUUACUUCCUCAGUAACGAAGCUAACGCGUGAAGUUGACCGCCUGGGGAGUACGGCCGCAAGGUUAAAACUCAAAGGAAUUGACGGGGACCCGCACAAGCGGUGGAUGAUGUGGUUUAAUUCGAUGCAACGCGAAAAACCUUACCCACCUUUGACAUGGUCGGAAUCCUGCAGAGACGCAGGAGUGCUCGCAAGAGAGCCGACACACAGGUGCUGCAUGGCUGUCGUCAGCUCGUGUCGUGAGAUGUUGGGUUAAGUCCCGCAACGAGCGCAACCCUUGCCAUCAGUUGCUACGAAAGGGCACUCUGAUGGGACUGCCGGUGACAAACCGGAGGAAGGUGGGGAUGACGUCAAGUCCUCAUGGCCCUUAUAGGUGGGGCUACACACGUCAUACAAUGGCUGGUACAAAGGGUUGCCAACCCGCGAGGGGGAGCCAAUCCCACAAAGCCAGUCGUAGUCCGGAUUGCAGGCUGCAACUCGCCUGCAUGAAGUCGGAAUCGCUAGUAAUCGUGGAUCAGCAUGUCACGGUGAAUACGUUCCCGGGUCUUGUACACACCGCCCGUCACACCAUGGGAGCGGGUUCUGCCAGAAGUAGGUAGCCUAACCGCAAGGAGGGCGCUUACCACGGCAGGGUUCGUGACUGGGGUG
rnacentral:rRNA from 1 species